GGUACACGUCCAUCUCGACUCUCCCCGCACCUUAGCGAAAGCAAAGUCUAUGAGUUCCGGGGGGAGUAUGGUCGCAAGACUGAAACUUAAAGGAAUUGACGGAAGGGCACACAAGGAGUGGAGCCUGCGGCUUAAUUUGACUCAACACGGGGAAACUCACCAGGUCCAGAAACCUGCAUGAAAGACAAGCUGAUAGACUUUUCUCAAUAUAGUUAGUGGUGGUGCAUGGCCGUUCUUAGUUCGUGGAGUGAUUUGUCUGGUCGAUUCCGUUAACGAGCGAGACGCAAAUCUGCCUAAAUAGGACACCGCUGCCUUAGCUGGGCAACCGGCAUCAAUGUGCAGCGGGUCACUUAAUCUUCUUAGGGAUAUUGGGGUGCGAUAAGCCUUCUGAAAAUGCGCAAUAACAGGUCAGUAAUGCCCUUAGAUGUUCUGGGCCGCACGCGCGCUACAAUAGAUACGCUUUAGCACGUGUCUUAACCGAUCGCCUAGGGCUAAGGCCCACGGUAAUCGUUAAACAUAUCCUCGACUGGGACUGAUUCUUGUAAUUCUGUGUCACCAACGAGGAAUUUCUAGUAGUCGCGCGUCAUCAGCGCGCGACGAUUGCGUCCCUGCCCUUUGUACACACCGCCCGUCGCUGCUACCGAUUGGAUGUCCUGGUUAUGCUCAUAGACACGGCGUGAUAGGCUGCGCCGCAAGGUGUGGCUAGUCUGCCGAGGAAGUGAUACGUACCAAGCUAUCUAGAGGAAGCAGAAGUCGUAACAAGGUAAUCGUAGGUGAACCUGCGGAAGGAUCAA
rnacentral:rRNA from 1 species